GCCAGGCGCGGUGAUGCACGCCUGUAAUCCCAGCGGCUUGGGAGGCUGAGGCAGGAAGAUCUCAAGUUCAAAGCCGGCCUCAGCAAGGGUGAGGCGCUAAGUACCUCAGUGAGACCCUGUCUCUA
rnacentral:sRNA from 1 species